ensembl:lncRNA
GAGGAAAUUACAUCACUUUUAAAAGAUGUUUGGCAGCAUAGAAGGGAGAUGAAGGAUACCAUGAUAAAGCAAAUAUUGUUUAUUUUUUAAAGAUAUGAGCAAUGUGCUUUAAAAUUUUUUUUCACUUAAUGUUUUUUCCCAAAUGUUUGGCAGCAUAGAAGGGAGAUGAAGGAUACCAUGAUAAAGCAAAUAUUGUUUAUUUUUUAAAGAUAUGAGCAAUGUGCUUUAAAAUUUUUUUUCACUUAAUGUUUUUUCCCAAUUACAUGUAAAGAUAGUUUUCAGUAUUCACUUUUAUAAUAUUUGAAUUCAUUUUUUCACUCCUUUUCAUCUUCUCCUUUCUUCCCAAGAUAGCAAGUAAUUUGAGAUAGGCUAUUAAAUAUGUUUCUAUACUAAUCAUCUUGUUAAAGAAAAAUCAGAACAAAAGAAACAAAAAUAAAAGUAGUAUGCUUCAAUUGUAAUUGAGACUCCACAGUGCUUUUUCUGGAUUUGGAUAGCAUUUUCCAUUAUGAGUCUUUUGGAAUUAUUUUAGAUCAUUGUAUUGCUAAGAAAAGUUAAGUCUGUCAAAAUUGAUCAUUGUACAGUGUUACUGUUACUAUGCACAAUGUUCUCCUGGUUCUGCUCACUUAAUUCAGCAUCAGUUCAUGUAAGUUUUUCCAGGUUUUUUGAAAUUCACUUCAUUUAUUACAGUUACAACAGUAUUCUUUUACAUCCAUAGACUACAAUAUAUUUGGCUAUUCCCCAAUUGAUGGACAACCCCUCAGUUUCUCAUUCUUUACCAUCACAAAAAAGGGCUACCAUAAACAUUUUUGUACAGGUGGGUCCUUUUCUAAUUUUUAAUGAUCCCUUCGAGACAGACUCAAUAGUGUUAUUGUUGGAUCAAAGGCUAUGCAGAGUUUUAUAGCUCUUUGGACAUAGUUCCAAACUGUUCUCUAGAAUGGUUGGAUCAGUUCACAACUCCAUCAGAAAUGCAUCAAUAUUCCAAUUUUCUCAGAUCCUCUCCAACAUUUGUCAUUUCCAUUUUGUCAUAUUAACCAAUCUGAUGUGGUUAACACAGUUGUUUCUUUUAAUCAAUAGAAAUGUAGAACAUUUUUCAUAUGACUAUAGAUAGCUUUAAUUUCAUCUGAAUUUCCUUUGACCAAUAACCAACUGGAUAAUGACUUGUAGUCUUAUAAAUUUGAUCAAGUUCUCUAUAUAUUUUAAAAUGAGGCCUUUCUCAGAAGUAAACAUUGUUUCCCAGCUUUCUGCUUCUUUCUAAUCUUGGUUGCAUUGGUUUUGCUUAUGCAAAACCUUUUAAAAUUAAUCAAAAUUACACAUUUUUUAUUUCAUAAUGUUCUCUCUUUUUUGGUUACAAAUUCUUCCCUUCUCCAUAUAUGAGUGGUAAACUUUCUUCUCUUUUAAUUUGCUUAUGGUAUCACUUUUUAUAUCUAAAUCAUAUACCCAUUUCAACCUUAUCUUGGUAUAUGGUGUAAGAUGUUGCCCUAUGCCAUAGUAUUUUUCCAGCAUUCCCAGCAGUUUUUAAAAUAGUGGGUUAUUCCAGGGAAGCUGGACUCUUUGGGCUUAUCAAACAGUAGAUUUCUGAAGUCAUUGAUUAUUGUGUCUUGUUUACCUAACCUAUUGUACUGAUCCACCACUCUCUUAGUAUCAAAUAGUUCUGGAUUGCUCCUUUAUAAUAGUUUUAGAUCUUGUACCGAGAAGCCACCUUCUUUUGCAUAUUUUUCACCAAUUCCCUUGUAUUCUUCCAAAUGUGUUUCAAAUUAUUUUUUUCUAGUUCUAUAAUUUUUUUGGUAGUUUGAUUGGUAUGGUACUGAAUAAGUAAAUUAACUUACGCAAAAUUAUCACUUUUGUAUUAUCUGUUUACCCAUGAGCAUUGAUAUUUUCUCAAUUAUCUGAUUUUAUUUGUUCAAGUAUUUUAUAAUUGUAUUUACAUAGUUCCUGAAUUUGUUUUGAUAGCUACACUGCCAAAUAUUUUUGUAUUCUACAGUUAUUUUAUUUUUAAUUUAUUUUUCAAUCAUUUUUCUAAAUACAUGCAAAGAAUUUUCAACAUUCAACAUUCAAAACCUUAUGUUCCAAAUUUUUUUCCUUCCCUUCUCUCAUCCCUCCCCAAGACAGCAAACAAUUGUAUAUAGGUUAAACGUACACUUCUAAACAUAUUUCCAUAUUCAUCAUGCUGUGUAAGAAAAAUAAGAUCAAAAGGAGGGAGGACAAAUAAAAGGUGAAAAUAUUAUGAUCCACAUUCAGUCUCUGCAUGUAACACUUUCCAUUACAAGUCUAUUGGAAUUGCCUUGAAUCAUCUUAUUGUUGAAAGGAGCCAAGUUUAUCACAGCUGAUCGUGUAAUUUUGUUGUUACUGUGUAUUAUGUUCUCUUGUCUUUCCAGGCUUUUCUGAAAUCAACCUGCUCAUCAUUUCUUAUAGAAAAAUGUACCUUCACAUACCAUAAUAUUUUUUUUCUUUUUUCCUUCAUCUCCUUUGAAUAUAGGUCUAGUUGAUGUGUAGAUUUAGAAACUUUUUGUGAUUUCAAAUUUCUUUAAAGAAUGGUUGUACUUCUUCACAGGUUCAAUAAUGUACCCUUUUUUAUGGUAUCUUUGGAUAGACCCAGUAAAGACACUGAUAAAAGAGGUACGUGGAGUUUUAUAACCCUUUGGGCAGUUCCAAAUUGCUCUUCAGAAUAGUUGGAUCAUUUCACAACUACCCACAAUGCAGUAGUGUUCCACUUUCCUCACAUAUUCUCCAACAUAUCUUACAAUCUGAGAGGUUAAGAUGGUAUCUUAGAGUUGUCUUAAUUUGCAUUUCUCUAUCAAUAGUGAUUUAGAGCAUUUUCAUAUGACUACAAAUGGCUUUAAUUUCAUCUGAAAAUUGUUCAUAUCCUUUGAACAGUUAUCUAUUGAAAAAUGACUUCUAUCCUCAUUAUAUAUUUUCAGAAAUGAGGUCUCGGCCUACUAUAAAAAUCAUUUCCCAGCUUUUUGCUUCCUAAUUUUGGCUGCAAUAGUUUUGUUUGUGCAAAAUCUUUUUAAUACAAUCAAGAUUUAUCUAUUUUGUAUUUCAGAUUGUUCUCUAAUUCUUUUUUGGCCAUAAAUUCCUUUCUCCACAGAUCUGACAAGUAGAUAAUCCCCUUGCUCUACUAAUUGUGACCUUAUCUUGGUGUAGGGUGUCAUGUUGGUCAAUUCCUAGUUUUUGCCACCAUUUUCCUGUUUUCCCAGCAAUUUUUGUCAAAGUGAGUUCUUAUCCCCAAAUCUGUAGUCUUAGGGUUUAACAAACACUAAAUUACUGUAGCCAUUGGCUAUUGUGCAUUGUGUACCUAACCCAUUCCAUGGAUCCACUAUGCUUUUAUUUCUUAGUAUCAAAUAGUUUUGAUGACUACCACUUCAUAAUAUAGUUUUAGGCCUGGUACAGCUACACUAUUUUCCUUUGCAUUUUUUCCAUUAAUUCCUUUUUGCCGAGGCAUUUAGAGUUAAGCCAUUUGUCCAGGAUCAUACAGCUAGGAAGUAUUAAGUGUCUUGAGACCAAAUUUGAACUCUGGUCCUCCUGACUUCAGGGUUGGUGCUCUAUUCACCGCACCACCUAGCUGCCCCUAUUCCUUUGAUAUUAACCUUUUGUCUUUUUAGAUGAAUUUUGUUAUUUUCUAGCUCUAUAAUUUCUUGGCAGUUUGGUAUGGCAUUGAAAAAGUAGAUUAAUUUAGGUAGAAUUGUCAUUUUUAUAUUAGGUUGGCUUACCUAUGGCCAAUGGGUAUUCUUUCAAUUGUUUAGAACUAUUUGUGUGAAGCACUUUUCUUCUUGGCAGGUAGACUCCCAGAUAUUUUAUACUAUUUAGUAUUUUAAAUGGGAUUUCUUUUUCUUACUGCUGGGCUUUGUUGGUAACAUAUAGGAAUGCUGGAUUUACAUGGGUCCAUUUUAUAUCCUAAAACCUUUCUAAAGUUGUUACUAAUAGGUUUUUUUUUUUUUAUUUUCUAAGUAUAUCCUUUGAUCAUCUGCAGUGUCUAUUCUAAUUCCUUUUUUUCCCUUCUCAUUGUUAUAGCUAACAUUUCUAGCACAAUAUUUAAUAGAAGUGGCAAUGGGCAUCCUUGUUUCUUUGAUCUUACUGGGGAGGUUUCUACUUUAUCCCCAUUAUGUUUGCUGAUGGCUUUAAGAAAACUCCAUUGAUUCCAAUACGCUUUAGUGUUUUUAAUAACAGUUGCUAUAUUUUACCAAAAACUUUUUUCUACAUCUACUGAGGUAAUCAUUUGUUAAUUUUGUUAUCGAAAUGGUCAAUUAUAACAAUAAUUUUCCUAUAUUGAACCAGCUUUGCAUUCCUGGCAUAAAUCCAGCCUGGCCAUAGCAUAUAAUUUUUGUUUCAUAUUUCUGUGGUCCAUUUGCUGACAUUUAAAAUCUUCACUAAAAUUGGUCUGUAGUUUUCUAUUUUGAGUUUCCCUAGUUUAGGCAUCAACACUGUAUUUAUAUUUUAUAAGAGAAAUUUGAUUUCUUUACCUUUCCCUCCCAAGCAAUUCAUGUGGCAUUAGAAUUGUUUUUAAGUGUUUGAUAGAAUUCUCUUGUAAAUCCAUCUGCUUCUGGCUGGAAUCACCACUCCCAAAGAUGCUACUAGAAUGCUCAAAAGGUACAACCAGAAUAGGGACACCGUAGAAGAUCAAGAAAAGGCUAUUGGACAGCUAUCAAGAUUUUUAAGAACUUUCCAAAGAGUAGUGAGGGCAAUCUAGACCUACAGGGAUUUAAAGAGAAUAACAAGGAAAGCAAAGUACUUUUAAAAGAUGUUAGGCAGUAAGGAAAGGUAGUGAGGGGUACAAGAUAAAGCAAGUAUUGUUAGCUUUUUAAAGAUUUAAGCAAUGUGCUUUAUUGAAGGUAAAGAGGGGAAUUACUGGAUGGGAACAGAUUGAAAUUAUUGCUGAAGGAAAUAAUAAACCUAGGAAGUGAAUUUCUUCAGGUAUCAGUGGAGAUAUCUAGGAUAUAAAGAAGAUAGCUAUAAAGAAAAGGAUAUAUUGAGGCCAAGAAAAAGGUUCAACAACCAGUUCAAGGUUUUGAGUUCAGAAACUGGGAGAUUCUUAGUAGAAGAAUGGAAAAUUAGGAUCUUGGGUGGUAUGAAGAAUUUCUUUUAAGAAUCUGGUAAAUAACUAGUUUUCAACCUAUUAUUGUGACAAGGGCAUGACUGAUGGACAGCAUGAAUCUUCUACAUUUUGAAUCUCAUUCUAAUACUACUGAAGUUCAAGAGCUGAAGAAACUAAAGGAGGACAAUCUAGGUUUGGUGUAGCAGGCAAAGCAGAAAAUUAAAGGGUAAGGCAAUAAAUUCUGAAGAGAGAGAUCCCUUGAUGAACUUAUGUCAACUUGAGGAUAUUAUCAGGACUGAGGCAGCCAGGACUUGCAUAUGAAAAAGACCUGAAUUCAAAUGCUGUCUCAGAUAUCAGAUGUGUGACUUGGCCAAAUCACAACUUUUAAGCCUCAAUUUCCUUCUCUGUAAAGUAGGACUAAUAAUAGCAUCUCCUUCCACAAGAUUGUUAUAAAAACUAAAUGAGACAAUAUAUGUAAAGUAUAAAGAUUAUGUUUAGCUAUUCAGUGUUAACAAGGGAUAUGUGUAUGUUGCAACUAUUCAACACUUACUCAAACCAGCUUUUAAAUAUCACUUUCAUCCCAGCUGUCCUACGCAGGAAAUAGCACUUGUGGUUAGACUGAAGUAAGAAUAAAGGGCAUGGUAGAGAGAACAGAAAUUGGGACCUUAUUCUGCAUAUAUACGUACACAAAGUUUUGAUCCCACUUAUGAUUAUAAUUUUUGAGGAAGUUUCAUGUGCAUUCCAUGCAGAUCAGCACCUGUUAGGCAAUUCAGAAUUGUCUAUAUUUCUAUACAACAUAUAUAAUGAACAUCUAUUUAACAUUCCUUAUAUAUUUACGAUAGCAAUAACUUAGUAGCAUACUUAAUGCUACACCCUCACCCCAAAUAAUGCACUCAAAUACACACUAUUAUAGCUAUCUAUCUAUAUAGUGCCUUAAGGCUUGCAAAAUACCUUUAAAAUAUUACAUUUUAACAUUGCACUUUUUUUUUUUUUUUUUUAAAGAUAUGCUUUAUUUUCAUUCUCUAUAUUUUUGGGAACUAAAAAGAGCCUUCCUCAAGGAUGGUAAAAUUGUAGUCUUGAGAAGUGAGUUGAGGCAGAUCAUUAAAAAAAUUUAUUAUAACAAUGAAGUUAAUAUUGAGUGGGGUAAAGAAGGUAGAGAAAGCUGACUUCUACUUCUUUAAAAACAAAAAAAAAUUAAGCUAAAAUUUAACAAAGUCUGAGAAAUUUUCAAAUUAUUUGAAACUAUAGCAAAAAAUGGAAAAGUUUCAUAAACUGACUACAAGAUAGUAAAAAUGUAAUUAUUGAUCCAACUCAAAAACAGGAUGGGAUAAAUGAAACCAUUCUACUGAGAUUAAUCAAUUCUGCAAUUUUCAGUUAAAAUAUUUUUUGUUUUGGUUUGAUAUUUUUGGUGGGGAGGGUACAAGGAUAAAAUUAUUUUUAAUAAUUUUAUAUUUGGGUGAGAAUAUAGUGUUUAUCUUCUACAGACUAUUCUCAUUUCAUUCUAUGAGAACAUUUUAAUGAAUGAGCAUGGAGUCAGAAAGCAAACUGUCCAAAAUGUUAUCUAGAGGUCGAAUAUUUAUUACAUUUGACUGACUAGUACCCAAGUAACAUAAAAAGGAGAUACAGUCCUUAUAAUCUUCAUCCACAAUCUUACCAUCAUAUUUAAUUUUUAAAAAUAAGAAGAAUCUUUCCUUCCCAACAUAGAUUAGUUACAAAUCAUAAUCUUAUCAGAGUUACUCCAUGGAGAAGUAAAUAUUAGUACUCAAUCAUGCAGAUUUAAAGAAACUCAACAUUGGUGAACUAAUUAAAUAUGUAGAAAGUACAUAUUAAGCACCUGUAUUCUUUAGAUCCUACUGCAGCUUCUUCUGUAAAUUAAUGUCUUUCUUACUUUGGAUUUAGUCUAAAUUGCAAAACUGGGGAUUGAAAAAGCAGAAAAAUUUUAAUCUAAAAGUCAACAUAUUUAAAACAUCUGGCUGCCUGUAACUAAUUAGGGCAGAAGGCAAAUUAAAUGUUUAAAUUUUAAAAAGCUUACAUUCAUUCUUUCACUUGCUCCCAAAUGCCAUUGAAUUUCAUUUCAGUUCUCACCUUAACACCACCCCCCCCUCACCCCCCCCAGGUAAAAUCAGCAUGCUGGGUUGUUGGUUCUCCAGGUAGAUCUCCAUCCUUGUGAAAGAUGGUGAACUGGAGCCGUACCAGCUGGCUAGUUGUAUUCUUCUAGAUUUAAUGGUGAUUGAGGCUCAAAAUAGAGAAUCCACAUAAGGGUGAAAAUACAUGUUUUCAAUCAUUCAUAAAAUUCUUUCCCUCUGAAUGUCUUCAGCUUUAUUCCUCUAAAGAAGUAUAAGCAGUUAAGUAACUGCAGAAAGAAAGAAAAAGUUCUAUCUAGAGAUCAAUGAAUGUUAUCAGUGAUAUAAUAACCAGUAUAGGGGCAAAUUUCUCAAAAAAAUCAUGAAGAUUUUGUGGAGUUGCAACAGAUAUUCUACAAUUUCACUCUUUACUAGAAAACAAAUAGAAAAACUUAAGUUCCUCUAUUCCAAUCCCUUCAUUUUACAGAAGAAACCAAAUUAAGCAAUUUGCCCAAGGUCAUACAAUGAACUGAAUAGAACAUGUGGAUGUUUGAUGCUGAAGAAAAAAAAAAUAGAUUAAACGGACUUGCUUUAAAUAAUUUAAAAACUUGCUGUGAGCUGAAAAAUUUGUAAAUUUAACUGAAAAAAUGUACUUUGAUAAAUUUAUCAAAUAAAUAAACAAUUUGAUAAAUUGUUUUCAGACAUUGCAGGAAAUUAUCAAAUAAUUGCUUUGAAAUAUUUGACAUAUUUUCUAUAUUUAUUGCUUGGAAAAAAUUUGUCAGAUUAAAACACAUAAUAACUAAGCUGAGCGAUAAAUCAGAAGCCACCCAGAGAUCUUGGAUGUAAAGAUCCUUUACAUAAACCUAUUCUGCUUAGAACAAAAAUUGGUACACAUCAAAAUAUGGUUCCUCCAGCAAAGGCAAAGAAUGAUGAAAAAUUUAAAUUUGUACUUUGGUUUAUAAACCAAUUCUCUUUUAAGUUUGCCUAGGAACAAAGAGCUUAUUUGAGUUUGAAUAGCUAACAAACUCCGGCUUGAUUGACUGCUGUAAUGAAGAUUAAUCCCAAAUUUUUUAAGUAAACAACCAGUAAAAGUGAAAAUAAAACUUACACACCUAACCCUCCCCCGUGGCAUUUUCCUGUUCAUUUCCAAUAUGCAAUAUUCUCAGUAUGUCCAUAAGGAAACCUUGCAAAAUAACUUUUGAAGCCUUCUCUAAAAGUCUGAUGGCAGCUGCAUAAGGAUCAUGUUUUAAUCUAAAAUUCUUUAAGCAGAAAUAAGAAAUUAUUGGACUUUUUCUCACCUUUCCCCAGCAAGUCAUCAAAAGACACACUUCAUCUACUGGUAAUUAAAAAUCUGACUUCUGCUGAGACAAAGAAAUUACUCCUAUUUAAUUACCAGUCAAAUCUGGCCAUUUUAUAGAGCUUUAUCAGUCUCCCUAACUUGACUGACAACAAAUAUUAUUAAGCUCUUGCUUAUUUUAACUUCUUUACUUCCAUGAAGGGGCAGCUAGAUGGCAUAGUCGAUAAAGUGACAGGCCUGAACUCGGGAACACUCAUUUUAUGAGUUCAAAUCUGGUCUCGGACAUUUACUAGCUGUGUGACCCUGGGCAAACUCUGUUUGCUUCAGUUCCUCAUCUGUAAAAUGAGUUGGAGAAGGAAAUGGCAAACCACUUUAGUAUUCAAGAAAACUCCACAUGGGAUCAUAAAGAGUCAGAUAGGACUGAAAAAUAACUCAACAAAAACUGCCCCCAUUGAGUGUCAUGUCUUAUUGUCUACAAUCACACCAAUUUUUUCUUCACUGCUCCAAACCUCUCUGAUGUUAAAAUUUUGGGGAACAAGAUGAGGAGAAAAGGGAAUGCUGUCUUAACAGAAUUAAACAAAACAAAACAAAAACUAUACAGACCUUGACCCCAUGGGGCUAACAGAAGAAUGAUACAAAACAGAUCCUGACAUUCUGGUUACAAGUUACAGAAGUACAAGUACUGUACAGGUUACAUAAAACACUCAACAUUUGUAAUUUUUAAAAGUUCUACAUUGUUAUAUCCUUAUAGUCUCAUUCUUUCUCUUACUGAUUGUUUAAAGUUUGAGGUUUCUAAAUUCACUAAGAUACUUUUGGAAAGUAAAUGCUUCAGAUCAGUUAUCUCAAAUUUCAGCUAUGUGUUUGUUUCACCUUUGUAGUAUUAAUUCGUUUGCUCCAAAGCCUUAUUUAAUCCAGUUAAAUCUAUCAUUCCAUAGAAAAAAAAGACUGCAUUAGGAAAAUACAUGUAGGGUCCAGAAGCAGCUUUCUUUCAAGCAUCUAUUUUAGGUUUUCUAAAGGUAGCUUACUGUUGACUGCUAUUAUCUUUGGAUAAAAUCAUUUUCUAUUAAAGAAAGAUGCAAACUUAUAAAGACUAAUAAAGACCAUUUAGGUUUAGCAUUAGUAUCAGGGCUCAGAUGCCUGCCACAUUUUUCACAUUUAUAUGGUUUCUCUCUCCAGAAGAAAUUAUCUAUCCAAGACCCAUCUCAACUUCCUCUAUCUCAGAAUAUAUUAAUAUAGCAUGUUCCUUUAUCAAAAUAUGUAAGUUCACUACAUAUCUAAAUGGUUUUCCUGGAUUCCAGCUUUCUGCCAGAUUGGAGGCAAAUCACAAUUUCAUAAUACUAGCAAAUUGAAUAUUUUCUUUUCUUUCUUCCUAGCAGAAUUGGUGCAAAACAUAAAACAAAAUCCUUCGAAGAAUUUCAUGGGGUCAACGAUAAACAUGACCUUAUAAAAUAUUUAAUUAUAUAGUGCUUUAAGGUGAUAAUUGACUAUUUAGACAUUUAGUCCAAAAUAACAUUUGAGGAAAGCAGUUUUUUCCUGACAGUAGACAAGAUGACAAAACUGGAGCAAAAGAAGGAAACCUUUUCGAAGUUCACCUACCACAGUAUAGACCUGGAUAAGUUGCUGAACAUAUUUUAUGAACAACUUAUGCAGUUGUAUAGUGCUUGAUAGCACUACUGAUUCAAUUAGGGUCUGUGGCACAAACAGCAUUCCAUCCUGAAAUACCUGAGGAAGGCCAACAAAGAGACACUUCCCAUAGAAAGCCCAAGAUAGUGAAGGUACACCUUUGACAUAUGAUUAUCCUGCCAAAGAUAGUGGGAAGUAUGGUGGAUGUCUAAAAUGGCAAGACUUUCAGUCAGGCAGAAAUUAAGCCCAAGAUGAUCAGAUACUAUUUGGGAGAAUUUUCUAACACCUACAAGCUUAUAGCCAGCUGGGUACUGGAGCCACUUACUCAAUCAAUUUCAUCCUUCUCACCUAAUCCAGAUCCUAACAAUAAGAAAAAGGUACUUAAAAAACAAACCAAAACCAAAAAACCCAAAACCAAAUUAACACUUUGGUGCUGAAGAAGAGUCCUUCAGUCUUU